rnacentral:lncRNA from 1 species
GAGGGAGAGAGGAGGGAUCUUUCUGUUGAUCUUUUUGCCAUCCUAGCUUGGAUUGUGCUUAGGAGUGGCUUGUUACUGGACAUGGUGAAGUAAUCCAAGAAUCAGUUUCGUGCUCAAUUGCUUCUCCUUCUCAAGAUCUGAAAUUUAUCUUUUUUCCCUAUUUUCGGAGCAUUUUUUGGUGAAUUUUUGGAUCUCACGAUUGGUAUCAUUUUGAGGUGUUUUUCUUAGGGCAAAUCGGUGCUAGGACAUGUGCAAGAACAUCUAGGAUGAUCCCCUAGCAAAUCCAAGCAUGAGCACCUUGGAUUUUGAGAUUUCUGGAAAAUCCCCUUCUUGUG